AGAGUUUGAUCCUGGCUCAGGAUAAACGCUGGCGGCGUGCAUAACACAUGCAAGUCGAACGAUGAACCUUAUUAGAUUUCUUCGGAAUGAAAAUAAGUGGAUUAGUGGCGAACGGGUGAGUAACACGUGAGUAACCUGCCUUACACAAGGGGAUAGCCUUUGGAAACGAAGAAUAAUACCCUAUAAAGUUAGUCAAUCGCAUGGUAGACUAACCAAAGAUUUAUCGGUGUAAGAUGGACUUGCGUCUGAUUAGCUAGUUGGUGAGAUAAAAGCCCACCAAGGCGACGAUCAGUAGCCGGCUUGAGAGAGUGUACGGCCACAUUGGGACUGAGACACGGCCCAAACUCCUACGGGAGGCAGCAGUGGGGAAUUUUGCACAAUGGGGGAAACCCUGAUGCAGCGACGCCGCGUGAUUUAGAAGGCCUUCGGGUUGUAAAAAUCUUUUUUAUGGGAUGAAAAUGACAGUACCAUAAGAAUAAGGUCCGGCUAAAUACGUGCCAGCAGCCGCGGUAAUACGUAUGGACCGAGCGUUGUCCGGAAUCAUUGGGCGUAAAGGGUACGUAGGCGGCCUAGUAAGUUAGAAGUGAAAUAAUAUAGCUCAACUAUAUAAAGCUUUUAAAACUGUUAGGCUUGAGAGAUGAAAGGGAAAGUGGAAUUCCUAGUGUAGCGGUGAAAUGCGCAGAUAUUAGGAAGAAUACCGGUGGCGAAGGCGACUUUCUGGUCAUCAUCUGACGCUGAGGUACGAAAGCGUGGGUAGCAAACAGGAUUAGAUACCCUGGUAGUCCACGCUGUAAACGAUGAGUGUUAGGUUCUUGGAAUAAUCUGGGAGCCGCAGCUAACGCAUUAAACACUCCGCCUGGGGAGUACGCACGCAAGUGUGAAACUCAAAGGAAUUGACGGGGACCCGCACAAGCAGCGGAGCAUGUGGUUUAA
rnacentral:rRNA from 1 species